ACAACAGAGCUGCUUACCUCCUGGCAAUCAGGAAGAGGAAAGAGCAAGGACCAAGAUACAUUUCUCAGAGGCGCAUCACUAAUGACCUACGUCUUCCUGGAUUCUACCAUGUGCUGAGUGCCGUCAUCUUAUAAAUCCACGAAGACACCAGAACCAAUGUGACUUAUAGAAAAAAAAGAGUUUAUUUGGAGCUCACAGUUUCAGAGAAUUGGAUUCUAUAUAUCCAUCAUGGAGGAGAGCAUGGCAGCAGGACUUCUUACUGAAUUUGGAGACAGGCUGCAAGCCAGAAAGCUUCAGGUCAUGUUUAGGUUAUCACAUUGGUGAGAGUUCAUGGUGUACAUUCUGAAAUUUCUAGAAGAUACAGUCUCGUGAAUACACAGAGUGAUAUGGACAUCCACAGUAAAUGAAAGAGUAGAAGUCUGCAAACCAGCCGGUGACCACGUUGGUGUAGAACACUUCCCUCAUGGAAGCCAUAUGAAGAAUAAGUGACCUAGGAAUCAUUCCAUGUAAACUCUGCUUAGUAUGUGGAUAAAAAUGAAGCCAGGCAUUUCAAGGCUAUUCUGGGAUCUCUGUCUCAAAAAGGAAGAAAAGGAGAGAAAAUUGGCAGGCUAUGUCUAAUGGAAGAUGUUUUACAGAUGUCUUAAUAAAAAUGAACUUUGAAAUGGCAA